CACCCCCCCCGCCCCGAGAAAGCGCGAGGCGCCGCCAGCCCCCACUCCCCGUGAGGGCGCCCAACGGUCAGUCAGCCCCAACCACUGCGGCCCUGGGCGGGGGGGGACGGGGGCUGGCGGCGAGGGGCCGCGGAGAGGGGCCGGCCCAGCAAGCCGAAGGAAAUACUCCGAGCUCAUGUGAUGUUAUUCAGGUGCACCCACAUGUUAUGUCUUCCAGGUGUGCCCAGGCACCUGGCCAGCUCGACCUGAAACAGAGGCGUUUUCUUCAAAGCAGCGGAUUUACGCAGCAAGAAGUAAACUGGUAAUUAUGAAAAAGAAAGUGAAAUGGAAGACAUUCCUUUUGAAAUGGCUCUCAUACGGCUUCUCUACCACAAACUGCACAUUUAAUUUGGAAUGGUUCGGUUGCCUUGGUCUUUGAACAACUGAUCCUGCCAUCUUCAAAGACUAAAGGACACGUCUGUCUGCACAGGUGACCUAGAAGAGAUAAAGAUGGCAAGACGCCUUCAGCCCGUUGUAGGAAGAUAUUAGGAUGCAAGACGGACCUCUAGACCUUUUGAGUUCCCCGUGUCAGGUGAAGUGUUUGCUAGAGCUCUUUGAAGAAGUAUCAGGCGUCAUUCUGCCUGGAGAUCCUGCCAGUGCCCAAAGCCUCGCAUCCAUCGGGAGAGAGAAAACGAGCAGCAUAACUACCCAGAUGCCUGUGCUGGUUUUCCUCACGCCUGCAAUUACUCCACUUCUCCCUGUUCUUAAGAUGGAAGGCUGAGUUGCAAAACCGCAGGCACUGUGGACUUCCACAAACAAAUUCUGCGGCCAAAUAUGGAUGUCCAAUUCCACAGCAGGUUGGCAACUUUCUGAUGUUAUUUACGGGGUUUGGAGAAGUAUGAUUUCCCAAAGGCACUUACAUAGCUGGAUGUUGGCUCAAGUUUUAGUUGACUAAUAAAAGUUUUCCAUUGCAUUAUGCCCCUCAUACAGCCUAUUUAACAGAUAGAAGUCUUGUCCUAAGCGCAGUAUGGCUCGUGAUGAUUGUGGCAGUCCACUGUCCGUCAUUCAUGCAAGUUUGGUGGUAUAUUUUUUUCUAGAAGCACCAUUUAGUAUUUCUUACAUUGCUGAAUGGUGCCUGAAUAAGGAGUUCUCUUUACUCAGGCCCACCAGAUGCUGUAGUCAUUUUCUAAAUUCAGUUUGUAUUCUACCUUCUGAAUCCAAGGCUGACUCAGCCCUACCUCUGCAACCUCUAACUUGCGCGUAUCUGUCACGUAGAGCUCGUACGAAUGAUGUGAUCCACCAUUUAAAUCUUCAAUCAAGUUUUUUAAUUAAAAGAGCUGCAUGACACUACCAUUCACGGGCUCGAUCAAUUUUAUGCUUUAAUUUGUGGAGUGUUAGAGAAUAGUGAGAAUAUUCAGAGACUCUCACUGAACGCAUUCUCCAGGUAGUGGCAGGAUCUCAGCACAACAGUUUGCUAAAGUUGCUGCUCCCAGUGACUUUAAUGGUACCGGACAAAUGCCUCGCCGACUGCCGGUCACCCUUUUUAUCAAGUUUAAUAUUGCCUUUCAGGGCACUUUUUGGCAAUCGUAAAUAUGCGCUUUCCGUUUACACAGUUGUGGCCUUGCGAGUGGUAAUGGGCAGAGAUGCUCACUUGAAACAUCUCUUACAGAAUAAACAGUAGCAGCCGAAGGUGAGGAUGGGAUUCUCAGUGCUUCGUUAGCACACGCGUGCUGGGAAAAGGGCAUUUUUCCCUCCACUGGGGAGGACUGGUCUCUGUACGAAGGGAAAUCUUCAGAUUUUAAUUUGUCGUUUGUUCUUUUUAGGUAGUGAACUACGCGCUGAUGGUCUUGGUUUUGAAGGGGAAUGUUGCGGCAGGACUUCGGCUAUCACGUGCCAGCGCGUGCAGCGUAGCACUAGGAGCGGGCUGCGGUACUGGAGGUGAGAAAGAAGCUGAGGUCGUACCUCCUGCUUAUCUGUGAGGCUUCUCUAAAAGUCACCAGAUGGAAAUCGCCUUUCGGAAAAACGAGGAUAACGCUGUUGUCAUCAAGGCUGUCUCAGUAAAGAGACUCUAAAGUGAAUCAGGUACCUGUUUGCUGUGUCGUGCCUGUGUACAGGGAUGCCGCUUUCUUUUAGCAGCCAAUAUCCUACCAUAAAUUAUUAUUUCUGAAUAAGUUGGGGCAGAGGACUAGGUGUGUUCUGGUUGUGCUGUUGCUUUGUCCUCUGACGCUGGCACCACGUUGCUGUGGAAAUUCAGACUCUCAUGAGGACCCUCCUAUUUUGCAUGUCUCUACUUUGACAUUUGUGACUUGAUUUCAAGAGGUACUUGGUGACCUGCAGCCAGUUACUUCCCCAAAAAUCAAGUCUUCACAUCCCCCAAAUUAACAAGCCCUUGUUUUGUUUUUUUUUUUUUUUGUUGCAGUCUUUUGAACAUCCUCUAAAUGUGUUAGCUCACAGCGGCGUUGUGAACAUUAAUUAACACUCACCAAGCACCAUGUAAAUAUUAAGUAUUAAAAGUAUAUUAAUUAUAUAGCACUUCAUAUGCGAUAUAAAUUCAACCUCGAAUGAAAGCCCCUCUCCAAAGAUUCAUAAAGAGCUUGUACUUUUUCGCCUGGGGAGAAAGAAAAAUACCUCCCUUAUGAAGAAAAGGGAAAAGCUUAACUCAGAAUGUCCUGUUAUUUACUCAUGUAUUGAUAUUACACAAUAAAAUAUUUACAUUAAAAUGUAUCCCUUUUCAAAAAGAACUUGUUAACUCCAUUUUCCAACUGAAUUUGGCCAAGUUGAAAAGAAAAUUAUAUAUGCCAGAGGACUGCAGUAAAAGAGAUUUAAGGGUUUUCAAAUACUAUAAAAAAGAGACUAUAAUAAGUGACUAGUGGACCAGUCAGCUGUUUUAAUUAAAACUGGGCUGCUUAUUGAUCUAUCGUACAGAUUUACCCCCAUCUCCAACGUUUCAGCAAUAUUCCCUGCAACCAUUUCAGAAAAUAGCGCUUGUAAGAGAACACUAAAGAAUAUGGAAGCUGAGAAUGGAAAUGUUUUAUAUCUAUGCAACAUUCUGUACAAAGAUACUUUUUUUUUUCCACCCCUUGUUAAGCACCUUAUGUGUUUUCAUACAAAAAUUAAAGUGAAUAUAUAGAAUCUGUAGGAUACUAGUUUUCUGACCUAAUUCUAAUGGGCUCACUGAUUGUUAUUGCUUUAAAAAAAACCCCAGAAGUCUAAAAUUUAUUGGUUUGUAUCACAUUUUUAAAGGUGUCAUCUAAAAAUGUUCUUGCCACUGAAACCAGCAGGAGCUUUAGUGGUUACAACUUCAAGGUGGGCAUUUGUCGUCCAUGAAUUGAUUAAAAUACGUUCUCGUGAAAGCCAAAGAAAAUACCAAAAAGGGACUAAUAAAUGUUUCGCACCAGUGUGGAAGGGCUACUGUAUCAGCAGCUGUGCUUGGUCGCUCUGCUUGUUCCUGAAGGGCUUGAUUUUUUUUUAUAUUUCUUUUUAUUAGUGAUAAAGGAACCAGAAGCAUGGCUGUGUCCCACCGAACUGGGGAAGGGGGGGAUGUAUCACAGGGAUAAAAGCCCCUUCUUUAU